rnacentral:hammerhead_ribozyme from 1 species
AUGCAGAUGACGAGCCCCAAAUAGGACGAAACGCGCAUCCUGGAU